rnacentral:rRNA from 1 species
CCUACGGGCGGCAGCAGUGAGGAAUAUUGGUCAAUGGGCGCGAGCCUGAACCAGCCAAGUCGCGUGAAGGAUGACUGCCCUACGGGUUGUAAACUUCUUUGAUAAAGGAAUAAAGUGAGGCACGUGUGCCUUUUUGUAUUUACUUUAUGAAUAAGGAUCGGCUAACUCCGUGCCAGCAGCCGCGGUAAUACGGAGGAUCCGAGCGUUAUCCGGAUUUAUUGGGUUAAAAGGGAGCGUAGAUGGGUUGUUAAGUCAGUUGUGAAAGUUUGCGGCUCAACCGGAAAAUUGCAAUUGAUACUGGCAGUCUGGAGUACAGAUGAGGUAGGAGGAAUGCGUGGUGUAGCGGUGAAAUGCUUAGAUAUCACGAAGAACUCCGAUUGCGAAGGCAGCUUACUAAUCUGCCACUGACAUUGAUGCUCGAAAGUGUGGGUAUCAAACAGGAUUAGAUACCCCUGUAGUC